rnacentral:lncRNA from 1 species
AUGAAGAAUGGUUUUACUCAGCCUGGGCAAUGCAGUGAAGCACCAUCUCUAAUAGAAGGAAACCAUACUCUGACAGGAAACUCUUCCGAAGCUGUUAAUAUAAACGUAGAGACAAGAGAGCCUGGAGAGUUGCCUCGAGGAGUAACUGAUGACGAACCUGCCAUUUUGGAGCCUGGGAAGGAUGAACAAGUGGAAGUGUUGCCGGAUGUGACUCCACCAAAUGCUUGUGCUUGUGUGAUGGAAAAGGACUUAGAGAUGCAAGAGAUAGCAGAACUGUCACGGGGCAUGAUUGAUGAGUACAAUGCACUUACCGAAUCUACCAUUUUGGAGCCUAAAAUCGUUGAACAAGUAGAACUGUUGCCAGAUGUGACUUCAUCAAAUGCUUGUGCUUAUGUGACGGAAAAGGAAGCAGAGAUGCAAGAGCUAGCAGAACUGCCACGGGGCAUGACUGAUGAGCACAAUGCACUUAAUGAGUCCAAGGAAAUUGAAGAAGUCGGAGUGGUGAAGGAAGAUGAUUCCCUACAAAGUGGAGAAGAACAUCAUGUGGCAUUUGAUGUAACUUCACAACCGGAUGGAACUUCAAAUACGGAUCAAUUAGAGCAACGACGA